rnacentral:tRNA from 2 species
UGCCCCAUGGCUAAGUUGGUUAAAGCGUCCGACUGUUAAUACAACAGCAGCUUUAUCGGAAGGUCCUGAGUUCGAUCCUCAGUGGGGCAG